AAGAGCUUCCGCGGGAAUUUCCGGAGAGACAUUGAGUGAGAGACAGUGAAGGAAUGCGCUUGAUAGUCUUGUGAAUCAGCCUUCUUUUACUAAUAUUGUUUAAUGUGGAAACGUCUCGAUUGCUGUGCAAAAUACAUCUUGUAAAGGUGAAGUGGCAUUUGAAGCAGAAAAGUUGAGAUCGGUCAAUAUGACUGGAUGAAGCAAGAGUUGACGUCUGUCAAUCAUAAGUCAAUGUGACUGGAUGCAACAGAAGACCAAAGAGCUGACUGUCAAUGCGCCUGGAUGAAGCAGUUCUAAGAGUUGACAUCUGUCAAUGUGACCGGAUGAAUGGCAUCGAGCGGACCUUCGGAGGAGUGGCGUCUGCGACGGGCGGGGCCUCCCUCCACGGUCAACAACAGCGCCUCUCUGAUCCGACUGCGCAAUGAGGGUCAGGUGACGGUGGGCAGGGGGCCGAGUGCCGACUAUUUCUUGGACUCUGCCGUGACUUUGCGGCUGAUAUCUCGCGUCCAUGCCUCCAUCAUCGGGGAGCGCCUGGACAAUGGAGGUCAACAGUUCACGGUGGUCAACUCUGGCCUCAACGGGACCUACAUCAACGACUUCAAGAUGGGCAUACAGUCGGACAACAGCGUGCGUCUGCGCGAGGGAGACAAGGUCACCUUCGGUCACCCGGGCUGUGCUUCCAUCAAAGUGGGAGAGCUCGCUCCGCAGCCUCAGUCCGAGUUCCAGUUUAUUUUAGAGCAUGUGCCGUGUGGGGACACAGCCCAGGUCAAGGACACGAAUGCUCGGGGAGUGAUCACGCCCGCGACUGUCGGCUCGGAUUUCUCCCACAUGGUCAAAGAGCCACGGCAUGAAAGGGAGGAGGUCUCCCUGUCCGAGAAGGAGAACAAGAGCGGCCGGCGCUCGUCGCACAAGUCGCCCGGUGUGUCUCGGGCCGUUUCCGUGGACGCUGCCACCCCAACCAGACCACAUGCAUCGGAGUCGACAUCUUCAUCAUCGUCGGGUUCCUCUUUGUUGUCCGACGGUCAGAAAGGUCGGGUCCGGAAGAGACCCAGUCUCGACGCCUCAACAGAUGUGAGCGUAAGUUGUAGCAGGUCCCCGGCAGACAUGAGCAUGACUUAUAGCCGGGCGUCGAGCAGUCCGGACGUGAUCUUCGUGUCGGAGCAGGGGGCGCUGCUGCCUCCUCGUGUGGAGAUCAAGGAGGAAGAAGACGAGGGGGAUGAGUGGCCGGACAGGAGGGAGGAGGGUGAUGGCGGUGACGAUAACGAUGGUGGCUCUGGCUGGGGGCAGAGCGGGCUGGCGGAGGUCGUCCCCGAAGGUGGUGGGGGGGAUGGGUCGAAGGUCACCCACCACAGGGAAACCCCGAACCAGUCUGGGGAAAAGCCAAAACAGACUGGGAACAGGUCAAAGGUCAAUGGAGAUGUGUUGUCGACACUGGGUGUGGAGAGGUCGAAGGUCGGCCAAGAUGCGUCUUCAAAACAGACUGCAGAGAGACCAGAGGUCGUUUCGCAUGCGUUGUCGAAAGAGGCUGUUGAUGGGCCAAAGAUCAUCCAAGAUAUUUUGACAAAACAGGCUGUUGAUAGGCCAAAGAUCAUCCAAGAUAUUUUGACAAAACAGGCUGUUGAUAGGCCAAAGUUCAUCCAAGAUAUUUUAGCAAAACAGGCUGUUGAUGGGCCAAAGGUCAUCCAAGAUAUUUUGACAAAACAGGCUGUUGAUAGGCCAAAGUUCAUCCAAGAUAUUUUGGCAAAACAGGCUGUUGAUAGGCCAAUAGUUGCUCAGGAGGUUUCGUCAAAACAUGGUGCAGAAAGAGGGGGCGUGAGUCCUGUUUGUGCUGAUUCCCUGCGUGCAGAAAGAGGGGGCAUGAGUCCUGUUUGUGCUGAUUCCCUGCGUGCAGAAAGAGGGGGCAUGAGUCCUGUUUGUGCUGAUUCCCUGCGUGCAGAAAGAGGGGGCAUGAGUCCUGUUUGUGCUGAUUCCCUGCGUGCAGAAAGAGGGGGCGUGAGUCCUGUUUGUGCCGAUUCCCUGCGUGCAAGUGACCAAAAUGUCAGGCUACUUUCACAGCUGCCAUCUGGCAAAGACACGUGUCUCCCUGGUCAAUUGAGCCGGUGUGACGAGACAGACUGUGGUGUUAAAAGUGAAGGUCGUGUUGGCCUUACAAGUCAAAGGAGAGAUGUGAAAAUCGACAAAAGCGUAAGUAUUUUGGACAAAAUAAACUGUGGCCAUGCUGAGAGCCGGACAAGCCUUGUGAAUAAAACAAACUGUGGCCAUGCUGAGAGCCGGACAAGCCUUGUGAAUAAAACAAACUUUGCAAAAGUUGAAGGUCAUACGUGUAUUGUGAAUAAUAAAAACCGUGUCAAAGGUAAAGGUCAUGCAACUAUUCCGGAUAAAGCUAGCAAUAUGAAGGAAGAAGGCAAUGCUCAUGUUGUGAAGAAAGCAGACCAGUGUGCCAAAGCAGACGUUGUUUGUGGCGAUUUGGAGCCUGGUACCUGGCGACCGCCCCCAUCCACGCGACCGCCUCCCUCUAAAGCUGCCAUAAAGCCGCAUGAAAAGUCUGCCGGACUCCUCCCAGCCACAUGUCAAAAGCUUGCAGAGAUCAAGGUCAUCACGGAGGAUUUGUGUGGGAAGAAAGCGGACACUCCCCCGUUUGCUCCGGAGGACAAGUUGACCUCGGUCAGCCCCAAGAUUUCCCCGGAUUCGCAGCUGCGGCCGCUAAUGCCUUGCAAUAUGGCUAGUCUGAAUAACACGAUUCCGGCGUUGCCCGUUAAACCUGUCUUUGGUUCGUUCGGUUUGCAUGAUGAAAGCAUGAAAGCGGAGAAGAAGCUCUUAUUCUCAAACCAAAGCUUCAACAAACCGAACAACCUUCACAAGUUGGAAGUAGCAGCGGAAGGAAAACUGAAGUCCGGCUCUGUGGUCAGCUCCGGUACCUCUGUGGUCAAGCAGUCGUUAGAUGGAAUAAAGAAAUCCGAGUGGACGCGUGGUGGUGGUGGUGGUAGAGCGGAGGCCGUCUCGUCGUCUGCUGUGGUAGAGACACCUCGUUGUACCUCUGGGGGGAAAGACCGGGGUUCUUCCAGCCUGCGGGGUAAGCCCACCAUCACCCCCACCACCACCACCCCCACACCGACGUGUGUUGUGUCGUCUGCUUCCUCGUCAGCCCGGCAGUUAUCAGGCCAGGGGGGGUGGGUGCGGUCGGACGUAGGGGUGGGCGUGGUGGUGUCUGAGAACUGUGGGACUGACGGGUCGCACCAGUGCCGGGACGUAGACAGUAGCACGUGCACCGCGCUGGUCAGCUCGACCCGGUCGAAGGAAGACGUGGCCCCCAGCUCCACACAGGAAGGGCCUUCACCGUGCUCGACGCAAGCAACAGAAACGCCUCAGGUGGCCUCGCAGGCUUCUUCGGAACUGUCCUCAUCAUCAUCCUCGUCGUCCAUAUCUUCAUCUUCAUCAUCAUCGUCAUCUUCGCCGACAUCAUCAGCGGAGAGCUCAGCCGCGGUACCUACAGGUUCCACAGAGCCAGAGGAACCGGCUGAAAGUUUACGUCUACUUCAAAAACCGCCCAAUUCCAAAGAGAUUUCCACCGUAGAAAACCACUCAGAUGCUCGGCCCCCAAAUCGAAAACUUGAGGCGGCACCACCGCCGGCCCUCCCCACUUCUAGAUCCUCCUCAUCCGUGCACCCUGUGACCCCUGGGCGUACGACCAACUCCCCCGCCCACCCCACUCACAAAGACGUACCCAGCUCCAUGUCCAAGCCUGAACUGGACCAGAGGCCUGUCUCCCGGAACACUGACCACAAGGUCUGUGACCAUCUGCUGUUGGACAGCUCCCCGCCCCUGCUAGAAGGGACAGCUCUGGGCUUGUUCGGCAGCUCGGACGAGGAAGAAGACGAGCCGCGAGGCGUCAACAACACCAAGAAGAUCAUGAAGCGGAUCUACUCGCCACGACACCACUCGUCCGGGCCGCCCAGUCAGUGCAAACGGUCAAAGGUUCCACCUUCAUCGUCAUCGUCUCCGUCGUCGCUGUUAUUAUCAUCCCACAAACACAAAGGGGACAGCCCAGCAGGUGACCGGCCGAAAACCGCAAAAAUGUCAACAAAGUGGUUAUCAUCAUCAUCAUCAUCAUCAUCAUCAUCAUCGUCGUCGUUGCAAGCUGUGACAGUGAAGGCAGUGGAGAUACCUGUGGAGGAGGAUAGUGAUGGUUCAGAUGCGACGUCGUCGUCCUCAGACCUGUCUGACCUUGAGAGACACUUCCCGUCUCUGGCCACUCGCCCCCCCAUCACCAAAGUGGCCACUCCCAAGACAGCGCCGGCCAAGCGGAAACGUCGCGGUUCUUCCUCUGUUUCCUCCUCCUCCUCAGAUUCCCAGACACCUCAACAGCUGUCAGCAGCGUCGGUGCCGUCGCGUUCUUCGGGCCGGAAGGAUCAGCGAGGUCAAGGUCGUACGGGUGUUCCUACAUCUGGGACAACGACGAGAGUGGCGGGGGAAUUGGUGGGGAAGACUGCGGCAAAGUCUGGGACGCCGCUGAGGAACGUUUGCGACAAGAGUGGCAAGGAUCCCGUGGUGGUGAUGGUGCCGGUUGAGACAUCGAUGGUCAAGUCCUCCGCAGACGCGAGUCGCAGGUCCAAGGGCAAGGUCGAGGCCGGGAAGCAGAGCUCGAGUCGUAGUAGUCCUGCUACUGCAAGGUCGGGGUCAACAUCAGGGUCAUCGAAGUCAGGGUCGUCUGUUCCAGGAGGGCCGUCUAAGCCAGUUUCUGUGUCGUCAGGGUCAGGGUCAUCUGGGGGUGAGAGGUCAGUGGCUGCACGAACAGACAGUGGUCGGUCUGCGACUCAGACAGUGCUCAACGAAGACAAGUCCACGUUUGGCAUAGCGCUGGCCAGCUCUCGCUCGAUGGCUCGCACAGGGGGAGGAAGCAAAAAGUCGUCCGGAGUUGUCACUCCCAGCAGUCAUCGAGCCUCCUCAAAGUCAAAUCUGCCGGAGAAGCAAAAGCAAGCACCCGGCGGUCUGAGAACUGGUCAUUCUCAGAAGACUGACCGCUCUUGGGCGGAUGACCCGUGGGUCAAGACACACUCCAACCGCCCGCCGAAACCAUCGACCGGGACGAGCAGCGACAGAAAGACUGGCGAGCUGGAUCGACGGGAGGACAGGAAGACGUUGUCUAAGGGAGAUAACGCCGCAGUGGUGGCUCACAAAGGGAAGCAAUCCGGCGUAUCUCAGAAAGGGAAGUCGUCCUCCUCUGUAGGUGUCAAGGCCUCGUCGAUAGCGGCUAAGCCGAGCCAUCACGCCCAAUCAGGUCAGGGAAAGGUGGAGUUGGAGGAGAAAAACAGAAAGAAGGAGAGAAAGAAGAAGCCUCCGUCUGCAAAACGACAGAGAGUGAUGUCUGGGACUGAUUCAUCAAGCGAGGAUUCGGAAAGUCCUGGCAGAGCCUUGCGGAGUCUACGCGCCAGGCCGAGAGAGAGCCAGACAGGAAGUGGAAGGAGCACACGAUCGUCUCAAGCCAAGAAAGCCGCGCCGUCAAAGAAAGAGAAGAAGAGGCGAGCGAUGAUGGAGGACAGCAGCGAGGGGGACGUGGAGGAAGAGGACGAGGGGGAGGACGGGGUGCAGUACUGCGACGAGUCGUGUCAGGCCGCAGACUGUCUCAACCCGGAGGGCGACGAGGUGCAGUGGGUCCUGUGCGACAAGUGUUUGAAGUGGUACCACGUGGAGUGCAUCGACUGUCCGCCGGAGGUCCUGGAGGAGGAGAACGCCCAAUUCUUCUGUCCCAGUUGUAAAUGAGGUCAACGCCUGAAUGCCCAAUUCUCCUGUCCCAGUUGUAAAUGAGGUCAACGCCUGAAUGCCCAAUUCUCCUGUCCCAGUUGUAAAUGAGGUCAACGCCUGAAUGCCCAAUUCUUCUGUCCCAGUUGUAAAUGAGGUGUUAGAAAAGGAAAAUGCCCAAUUCUUCUGUCCCAGUUGUAAAUGAGGUCUCAGAAGAGAAACUCGCCUAAAUGCCCUGUUUUUCUGUCCAAGUUGUAAAUAAAAUGUAGGUCAUGGGCGAGCGUUGGGAGCUUUCUGUUCCGAAUGUGUUCACAAGUGAUACGAAGGAGUCCUUCUAGCUUUGUCUGUAAGACAGGAGAGGCUGAGAUCUUCCGUCACUGACAGAGGGCUCGUUAUGUUUGCUUUGAGGAUCGGGCAAAGGGAGGGACCGAACUCACUAGUUGUUUGAAACUAAGCAAGUGACACGUGGAUACAAGUGAAGAAACAGACAUUCACACUGUGGAACAGACAUUCACACUGUGGAACAGACUUCCACCAGACAUUCACGUAGUGGAACAGACAUUCACGUAGUGGAACAGACAUUCACGUAGUGGAACAGACAUUCACGUAGUGAUUCACGUAGUGAUUCACGUAGUGAUUCACGUAGUGGAACAGACAUUCACGUAGUGGAACAGAUACACUAGCAGAUGCACACACUCACAUUUAGAUUCUCAAGGCAUGUUGUGAGUGCAGAUGAAAUUGUUCUGACAUCAGCAAAAAGAAAGUUGUUUCUCUGUGGUUGAAAACAGGCGUGCCGUCUACCUGCCAUAGACUGGUCACAACCCGUCCGCAGCCACAUACAUGCAGAAUGAACCAAAUACACGCAGAAUGAACCAAAUACACACUGAAUGAACCAAAUACACGCAGAAUGAACCAAAUACACACAGAAUGAACCAAAUACACACAGAAUGAACCAAAUACACACUGAAUGAACCAAAUACACGCAGAAUGAACCAAAUACACACUGAAUGAACAAAAUACACGCAGAAUGAACCAAAUACACGCAGAAUGAACAAAAUACACGCAGAAUGAACAAAAUACACGCAGAAUGAACCAAAUACACACAGAAUGAACCAAAUACACGCAGAAUGAACCAAAUACACGCAGAAUGAACCAAAUACACGCAGAAUGAACCAAAUACACGCAGAAUGAACCAAAUACACCCUGAA
rnacentral:misc_RNA from 1 species